UUUGUGGAGGGUUCGAUUCUGGCUCAGGAUGAACGCUGGCGGCGUGCUUAACACAUGCAAGUCGAACGGGAUCCCAGGAGCUUGCUCCUGGGUGAGAGUGGCGAACGGGUGAGUAAUGCGUGACCGACCUGCCCCAUACACCGGAAUAGCUCCUGGAAACGGGUGGUAAUGCCGGAUGCUCCGACUCCUCGCAUGGGGUGUCGGGAAAGAUUAUAUCGGUAUGGGAUGGGGUCGCGUCCUAUCAGCUUGAUGGCGGGGGAACGGCCCACCAUGGCUUCGACGGGUAGCCGGCCUGAGAGGGCGACCGGCCACAUUGGGACUGAGAUACGGCCCAGACUCCUACGGGA
rnacentral:rRNA from 1 species